AUGAGGGCCUCAUUCUUCGCGAUGGUGGCCUCCAGUUGCGCGGCAGCGGCGAGGGCGGCCGCGUUGGCUGCUUCCAGUUUGUUGGCAUGUACCUUCCUCUGGACAACCCUCUUCACCGGCUAUAUGGUUCGUUGCUCCAGCGCCUACACCUUCUUGGGCUGCUUCUUGCGGGCAGAGCACUGUUUGCCGGCCGCGCCGUCGAUGGUGGAGGCACGGACAAUAGGGGGCGGCAGGGUUUUGGGAGAGAAGGGUGAAUGGAGUGGAUGUGCCAGUGUGUGGCAGGCCAGGGGGAGGACAAGGGCAGGUGUCACACACAUCCGCUCUGUGUCCGCGCCAACGCAAAUCCGACCCAAAUUUAAGCCUGAAAUGAGUCACGGGCGGACAAAACUUGGACGCUCGUCCAUUUGCAUCGGCACUAUCAUGACUGCUUGUGUGAUCAUGCGUAACAUGAUCGUUGAGAAUGAGCGUGGACAGGAUAGAUUACAUCUUGUAUCACUUGAUGGACGUACGCGUUAUGCCGAUGAGAAAAGAAGAGCGAAUCAAACGCUUCAUGAAGGUGUAGAAUGA
rnacentral:rRNA from 1 species